GUUUCGGUGGUGCCGGAUCGGAACAAUGAGCAUGCGUGAGACGCGCCAACAGCCGCUACUUUAUUUAUUUUUAUGACCUACGACAUUCGUAGGUGCAUACAUUACCGAUAUUGUCUUCGCUCCUGCUCCAUACUUUACUUCAUCGGCUUUGACCGGGUAGCCCUUUCCGGUGGCCAAGAAUACCUCUUGCGUGCCGCGUGCCCGCUCCCAUUGCCUAUCAGGGACUUAACCUUUGGGUUUGGCCACUGCCAAAGCUCUCUUCUCCGCCUUUCAAUUCCGCUUGCCGUAGGUACCUCAUCAGCGGGUGAUUCCGCCGUAGAUAGUCCUCUCGGAAGGUGCAAGGGAUGUGCGUCUGGCUGGAAUUUGGCAGACCCCGGCUGUGCUGCGGGCCAUAGCUAUGCUGUAUCGCUAAGUCUACAAUGUGGCGUCCAGUCCGCUGCAGGGACAUAAUGUCAGCAGCCCCCUCAUUCAUAUGCGCCGAAUCAAACGCUGGGCUUCAGCUUCGACACACAAGUCUUAUGCACCCUACGCUGCCACAAGCUGAGUCCUAUCAGAUUUGUUCACGCCAACGGAAUCCUAUUUAAGCAUUACCGAGGCGUAUUCGAGGCAGACCGAGUGCUACCCCAGCAAGACAGAAUAGUUUCCCAGAAGGACAGAAGCGCAUCCCUUGCAAUCGCCAUCGACAACUAUCUGAAGGACUUUGGCUAUGGCAAACAAGGGAGUGGCUACGCGGACUACCAGACAUUUUUAUGACCUACGACAUUCGUAGGUGCAUACAUUACCGAUAUUGUCUUCGCUCCUGCUCCAUACGUUACUUCAUCGGCUUUGACCGGGUAGCCCUUUCCGGUGGCCAAGAAUACCUCUUGCGUGCCGCGUGCCCGCUCCCAUUGCCUAUCAGGGACUUAACCUUUGGGUUUGGCCACUGCCAAAGCUCUCUUCUCCGCCUUUCAAUUCCGCUUGCCGUAGGUACCUCAUCAGCGGGUGAUUCCGCCGUAGAUAGUCCUCUCGGAAGGUGCAAGGGAUGUGCGUCUGGCUGGAAUUUGGCAGACCCCGGCUGUGCUGCGGGCCAUAGCUAUGCUGUAUCGCUAAGUCUACAAUGUGGCGUCCAGUCCGCUGCAGGGACAUAAUGUCAGCAGCCCCCUCAUUCAUAUGCGCCGAAUCAAACGCUGGGCUUCAGCUUCGACACACAAGUCUUAUGCACCCUACGCUCCGCUGCCACAAGCUGAGUCCUAUCAGAUUUGUUCACGCCAGACGGAAUCCUAUUUAAGCAUUACCGAGGCGUAUUCGAGGCAGACCGAGUGCUACCCCAGCAAGACAGAAUAGUUUCCCAGAAGGACAGAAGCGCAUCCCUUGCAAUCGCCAUCGACAACUAUCUGAAGGACUUUGGCUAUGGCAAACAAGGGAGUGGCUACGCGGACUA
rnacentral:sRNA from 1 species